GCGUAUAUUUAAGUUGUUGCAGCUAAAAAGCUCGUAGUUGGAUUUUGGUUAAGAGGGCGCGGUCGGCCGUUUGGUCUGUACUGCGUUGUCUUGACUUCCUGAUGAGGACAUGCUCUUGGUUAACGCUGAGACAUGGAGUCAUCGUGGUUACUUUGAAAAAAUUAGAGUGUUCAAAGCGGGCUUACGCUUGAAUAUAUUAGCAUGGAAUAACACUAUAGGACUCCUGUCCUAUCUCGUUGGUCUCGGGAUGGGAGUAAUGAUUAAGAGGAACAGUUGGGGGCAUUCGUAUUUCAUUGUCAGAGGUGAAAUUCUUGGAUUUAUGAAAGACGAACUUCUGCGAAAGCAUUUGCCAAGGAUGUUUUCAUUAAUCAAGAACGAAAGUUGGGGGCUCGAAGAUGAUUAGAUACCAUCCUAGUCUCAACCAUAAACGAUGCCGACUAGGGAUUGGUGGAUGUUAAUUGAUGACUUCACCAGCACCUUAUGAGAAAUCAAAGUUUUUGGGUCCCGGGGGGAGUAUGGUCGCAAGGCUGAAACUUAAAGGAAUUG
rnacentral:rRNA from 1 species